rnacentral:rRNA from 1 species
UACAGAGGUCUCAAGCGUUGUUCGGAUUCAUUGGGCGUAAAGGGUGCGUAGGCGGCGCGGUAAGUCGGGUGUGAAAUCUCGGAGCUUAACUCCGAAACUGCAUUCGAUACUGCCGUGCUUGAGGACUGGAGAGGAGACUGGAAUUUACGGUGUAGCGGUGAAAUGCGUAGAUAUCGUAAGGAAGACCAGUGGCGAAGGCGGCGCUCUGGAACAUUUCUGACGCUGAGGCUCGAAAGCGUGGGGAGCGAACCGG